rnacentral:rRNA from 1 species
UACGAAGGGGGCUAGCGUUGCUCGGAAUCACUGGGCGUAAAGCGCACGUAGGCGGAUUGUUAAGUCAGGGGUGAAAUCCUGGAGCUCAACUCCAGAACUGCCUUUGAUACUGGCGAUCUCGAGUCCGGGAGAGGUGAGUGGAACUGCGAGUGUAGAGGUGAAAUGCGCAGAGAUCGGGAGGAACACCAAUGGCGAAAGCAGGUACCUGGACUAUUACUGACACUCAGCUGCGAAAGCUAGGGGAGCAAACAGG